UACGGGGGGAGCAAGCGUUGUUCGGAUUUACUGGGCGUAAAGGGCGGGUAGGCGGCCACCGCAAGUCAGUUGUGAAAUCUCUGGGCUUAACCCAGAAAGGUCAACUGAUACUGCGGGGCUAGAGUGCAGAAGGGGCAACUGGAAUUCUCGGUGUAGCGGUGAAAUGCGUAGAUAUCAAGAGGAACACCUGAGGUGAAGACGGGUUGCUGGGCCAACACUGACGCUGAUGCGCGAAAGCCAGGGGAGCAAACGGG
rnacentral:rRNA from 1 species